rnacentral:rRNA from 1 species
GACGAACGCUGGCGGCGUGCCUAAUACAUGCAAGUCGAACGCAUUUUCUUUCACCGUAGCUUGCUACACCGACAGAAAAUGAGUGGCGAACGGGUGAGUAACACGUGGGUAACCUGCCCAUCAGCGGGGGAUAACACUUGGAAACAGGUGCUAAUACCGCAUAAUUCCAUUUACCGCAUGGUAGAUGGGUGAAAGGCGCUUUUGCGUCACUGAUGGAUGGACCCGCGGUGCAUUAGCUAGUUGGUGGGGUAACGGCCUACCAAGGCUGCGAUGCAUAGCCGACCUGAGAGGGUGAUCGGCCACACUGGGACUGAGACACGGCCCAGACUCCUACGGGAGGCAGCAGUAGGGAAUCUUCGGCAAUGGACGCAAGUCUGACCGAGCAACGCCGCGUGAGUGAAGAAGGUUUUCGGAUCGUAAAACUCUGUUGUUAGAGAAGAGCAAGGAUGAGAGUGGAAAGUUCAUCCCUUGACGGUAUCUAACCAGAAAGCCACGGCUAACUACGUG